AAUCGGGCAAUUAAAAUCCGCACAUAUGUCGUCACAUUUCUCUGGGUGCCUUUUUUAAAGGUGGAGGAUGCGGACAUAUGGAGGCCUAAC
rnacentral:sRNA from 1 species